rnacentral:rRNA from 1 species
UACGUAGGGCGCAAGCGUUGUCCGGAAUUAUUGGGCGUAAAGAGCUCGUAGGCGGCUUGUCACGUCGAUUGUGAAAGCCCGAGGCUUAACCUCGGGUCUGCAGUCGAUACGGGCUAGCUAGAGUGUGGUAGGGGAGAUCGGAAUUCCUGGUGUAGCGGUGAAAUGCGCAGAUAUCAGGAGGAACACCAAUGGCGAAGGCAGAUCUCUGGGCCGUAACUGACGCUGAGGAGCGAAAGCAUGGGGAGCGAACAGG